rnacentral:tRNA from 1 species
CCUCCUUUCUAAGGAUGAGUGAAAGUAAAAUUUCACUCUAAAUAAUAUACAUCGGUAAUGUUGACCGUCCUCAUUUCUCUUCUUAAAGUAAUGUUUCCUUCUUGUAGGGCCGGUAGCUCAGUUGGUUAGAGCACACCCUUGAUAAGGGUGGGGUCGAAAGUUCGAGUCUUUCUCGGCCCACCAUACUUAACUGGGGGAUUAGCUCAGCUGGGAGAGCGCCUGAUUUGCAUUCAGGAGGUCAGCGGUUCGAUCCCGCUAUCCUCCACCAGGAAACAUUUAGUUAUUAAAACUGUAAAUAAAAAUAAUUUAUAUCAAUAUCUAUAUCCGAACAUUAAAAGUUAUUAUUUAAUGUUCAAAAUAAAAAUUUGAUCACAUCAUGGAUUAAUUUUCUUNAAAAAAGAANUUUUUUCUGUGCAUAAA